rnacentral:misc_RNA from 1 species
GCUUUGCGGCUGGAUCCCCUCUUUUCUAAGAGACGCUGAUUGACGGAAGUCGAUUGGCAGAGAAAACAUGACACGAAGUCGCGUGAGGAAGCUAGUCGCGAUACUGAGAGCGCGCAAGCUUAGCGCUAACCUAGAUUGCUUGUCUGUCCCACUACUCUGUUGGCGAAGCCGCAACUUCGCAAUGGUUAACAAACGAGGGCCUGUAGCUCAGCUGGUUAGAGCGCACGCCUGAUAAGCGUGAGGUCACAAGUUCAAGUCUUGUCAGGCCCACAGAUGGGGAUGUAGCUCAACUGGGAGAGCGACGCCUUUGCACGGCGUAGGUUGCAGGUUCGAGCCCUGUCAUCUCCACAAACCAGUUUUGAACUGGUACUUGACAGUCGAAGUGGUGUUCGGGUAAGCUCGUAACACUAACGAGAAAAGAAGCAAAUAGACGAGAAGCAGGAGCAUCAUUUGGCAAACGCAGCAGCAGGUGUAAGAACCGAAUAGAUUGUUAGACAAUCAGAGCGCGUUUGGUGGAUGAAGCUCGGCAAGAUUGUCGGGCUUUUUUCGUGGGUAGGGAGCAGUUUACCAGGUGGAGAUGACAGAUCAGUUGGUGGGGAUCAGUGGAGGACGCUGGUACCUAGCAACGGGGCUGUCAUGAAACGCCCCACCCUGUCGAAGUUGGACAGGGGAUGCAACUUAACAGAUGAAUAGCAAACCAUGCAAGAACAGUACGCGAGAAGAAGAAGCACAAUUCUGAAACGAGUGUCAGCAUCUUCGUAGCACACGCUGGAGAAGGUACAAAGCGAAUAAGGGCGCAUGGUGAAUGUCUGGGCAUCCAAUGCCGAAGAAGGACGUGUGACACUGCGAAAAGCCCUGGUGAGGUGUGUCAAACCGCAAGAACCAGGGAUGUCCGAAUGGGGAAACCCGGAAGC